rnacentral:misc_RNA from 1 species
UCGUAGAGGACAGGUUGAGCAUGUAAAAGCUGAAAGGAAUCUGCUCGCAGAGGUGGACAGUAAUUGCAUUGUCAAACUGUAUUGUUCUUUCCAAGAUGACGAGUUUCUUUAUCUUAUCAUGGAAUAUCUACCUGGUGGUGAUAUGAUGACCCUACUCAUGAGGAAGGAUACACUAACUGAAGAUGAAGCCAGAUUUUAUGUUGCGGAGACUGUUUUGGCUAUAGAAUCUAUCCAUAUACAUAACUAUAUACACAGAGACAUUAAGCCUGACAACCUGCUGCUUGAUAGAUACGGUCAUUUGAGACUAUCAGAUUUUGGUCUUUGUAAGCCAUUAGACUGCAGCACCCUAGAAGAGAAGGAUUUCGCAGGGGGUGAUAGUGCCCAUGGAGCUUCUCGGAGUGAUGGGUCUUCUGCGCCAAAACGCACUCAGCAAGAACAAUUACAACAUUGGCAGAAAAAUAGGAGGACACUUGCAUAUUCUACAGUGGGUACACCAGACUAUAUAGCUCCUGAAGUCCUGCUGAAGAAAGGUUAUGGAAUGGAGUGUGACUGGUGGUCACUUGGUGCUAUUAUG